AUGAACGCUGGCGGCGUGCCUAAUACAUGCAAGUCGAGCGAACGGACGAGAAGCUUGCUUCUCUGAUGUUAGCGGCGGACGGGUGAGUAACACGUGGAUAACCUACCUAUAAGACUGGGAUAACUUCGGGAAACCGUAGCUAAUACCGGAUAAUAUUUUGAACCGCAUGGUUCAAAAGUGAAAGACGGUCUUGCUGUCACUUAUAGAUGGAUCCGCGCUGCAUUAGCUAGUUGGUAAGGUAACGGCUUACCAAGGCAACGAUGCAUAGCCGACCUGAGAGGGUGAUCGGCCACACUGGAACUGAGACACGGUCCAGACUCCUACGGGAGGCAGCAGUAGGGAAUCUUCCGCAAUGGGCGAAAGCCUGACGGAGCAACGCCGCGUGAGUGAUGAAGGUCUUCGGAUCGUAAAACUCUGUUAUUAGGGAAGAACAUAUGUGUAAGUAACUGUGCACAUCUUGACGGUACCCAAUCAGAAAGCCACGGCUAACUACGUG
rnacentral:rRNA from 1 species